GACGAACGCUGGCGGCGUGCUUAACACAUGCAAGUCGAACGGUGAAGCGCCUUCCUUUUUGGUGGGUGUGGAUGAGUGGCGAACGGGUGAGUAACACGUGAGUAACCUGCCCCCUUCUUCUGGAUAACCGCAUGAAAGUGUGGCUAAUACGGGAUAUUCUGGGUCUGUCGCAUGAUGGGUCUGGGAAAGAUAUUGUUUCGGUGGGGGAUGGGCUCGCGGCCUAUCAGCUUGUUGGUGGGGUGAUGGCCUACCAAGGCGGUGACGGGUAGCCGGCCUGAGAGGGUGGACGGCCCCACUCCGGCUGAGACACGGCCCCGACUCCUACGGGAGGCAGCAGUGGGGAAUAGUGCACAAUGGGAGCCAGCCUGAUGCAGCGCCGCCGCGUGAGGGAUGGAGGCCUUCGGGUUGUGAACCUCUUUCGCCAGUGAAGCAGGCCUGCCUCGUUUGUGGGUGGGUUGACGGUAGCUGGAUAAGAAGCGCCGGCUAACUACGUG
rnacentral:rRNA from 1 species